UGGAGAGUUUGAUCCUGGCUCAGGACGAACGCUGGCGGCGUGCUUAACACAUGCAAGUCGAACGGAAAGGCCCUUUCGGGGGUACUCGAGUGGCGAACGGGUGAGUAACACGUGGGUGAUCUGCCCUGCACUUUGGGAUAAGCCUGGGAAACUGGGUCUAAUACCGAAUAGGACCGCGCGCUUCAUGGUGUGUGGUGGAAAGCUUUUGCGGUGUGGGAUGGGCCCGCGGCCUAUCAGCUUGUUGGUGGGGUAAUGGCCUACCAAGGCGACGACGGGUAGCCGGCCUGAGAGGGUGUCCGGCCACACUGGGACUGAGAUACGGCCCAGACUCCUACGGGAGGCAGCAGUGGGGAAUAUUGCACAAUGGGCGCAAGCCUGAUGCAGCGACGCCGCGUGGGGGAUGACGGCCUUCGGGUUGUAAACCUCUUUCAGUAUCGGCGAAGCUCCGGGAUUUUUCUUGGGGUGACGGUAGGUACAGAAGAAGCACCGGCCAACUACGUGCCAGCAGCCGCGGUA
rnacentral:rRNA from 1 species